rnacentral:rRNA from 1 species
GCCAGCAGCCAUAUCAACUCUGCAACUCACAACUGACAACCCACUGAAGCUAAGCAGGUGUGAGUCUGAUCAGUACCUGGAUGGGAGACAUCCUGGGAAAAACUAAGGUUGCUGCUAGAA